CCUACGGGAGGCAGCAGUGGGGAAUAUUGCACAAUGGGGGAAACCCUGAUGCAGCGACGCCGCGUGAGUGAAGAAGUAAUUCGUUAUGUAAAGCUCUAUCAGCAGGGAAGAAAAUGACGGUACCUGAGUAAGAAGCCCCGGCUAACUACGUGCCAGCAGCCGCGGUAAUACGUAGGGGGCAAGCGUUAUCCGGAUUUACUGGGUGUAAAGGGAGCGUAGACGGCAGUGCAAGUCUGGAGUGAAAGGCGGGGGCUCAACCCCCGGACUGCUCUGGAAACUGUACGGCUGGAGUGCAGGAGAGGUAAGUGGAAUUCCUAGUGUAGCGGUGAAAUGCUUAGAUAUCACGAAGAACUCCGAUUGCGAAGGCAGCUCACUGGGCUUUAACUGACGCUGAGGCUCGAAAGCGUGGGGAGCAAACAGGAUUAGAUACCCUUGUAGUC
rnacentral:rRNA from 1 species